UCGAACUGUUAACACGAGCUGUUGCUGGUCUCCAAGCGGGGGGGCAUGUGCACGCUCUGUUUACACAUCCACUCACACCUGUGCACCCUCGGUAGCUCCAUGGCAAAGGGGGGGGCCCUGUCUCCCCCCUCUGUGGUUCUACAUUACUACACACGCUCUGUAAUAAAGUCUCGUGGAAUGUACUUCGCGUUUAACGCAAUACAAUA
rnacentral:misc_RNA from 1 species